GCCUGGAUAGCCCAGUUGGUAAGAGCCUGGUGCUGAUAAUGACCAAGGAUGCAGGUUCGAUACCCGCAUGGGACA